UACGUAGGGUGCGAGCGUUGUUCGGAUUUACUGGGCGUAAAGCGCACGUAGGCGGUUUGUUAAGUCAGAGGUGAAAUCCCGGAGCUCAACUCCGGAACUGCCUUUGAUACUGGCAAGCUAGAGUCCGGAAGAGGUAAGUGGAACUCCUAGUGUAGAGGUGGAAUUCGUAGAUAUUCGGAGGAACACCAGUGGCGAAGGCGGCUUACUGGUCCAUUACUGACGCUGAGGUGCGAAAGCGUGGGGAGCAAACAGG
rnacentral:rRNA from 1 species